rnacentral:rRNA from 1 species
GACGAACGCUGGCGGCGUGCUUAACACAUGCAAGUCGAACGGAAAGGCCCUGCUUUUGUGGGGUGCUCGAGUGGCGAACGGGUGAGUAACACGUGAGUAACCUGCCCUUGACUUUGGGAUAACUUCAGGAAACUGGGGCUAAUACCGGAUAGGAGCUCCUGCUGCAUGGUGGGGGUUGGAAAGUUUCGGCGGUUGGGGAUGGACUCGCGGCUUAUCAGCUUGUUGGUGGGGUAGUGGCUUACCAAGGCUUUGACGGGUAGCCGGCCUGAGAGGGUGACCGGCCACAAUGGGACUGAGAUACGGCCCAGAAUCCUACGGGAGGCAGCAGUGGGGAAUAUUGCACAAUGGGCGGAAGCCUGAUGCAGCAACGCCGCGUGCGGGAUGACGGCCUUCGGGUUGUAAACCGAUUUCGCCUGUGACGAAGCGUGAGUGACGGUAAUGGGUAAAGAAGCACCGGCUAACUACGUG